rnacentral:rRNA from 1 species
GACGAACGCUGGCGGCGUGCUUAACACAUGCAAGUCGAGCGGAGCGGCGAACGGGUGAGUAACGCGUGAGUAACUGCCCCCCCCUCUGGGAUAACAGUUGGAAACGGCUGCUAAUACCGGAUAGUGGGGGAUGACUCGCGUCCUAUCAGCUUGUUGGUGGGGUAGUGGCUUACAAAGGCGACGACGGGUAGCCGGCCUGAGAGGGCGAACGGCCACAUUGGGCUGGGAUACGGCCCAAACUCAUGCGGGAGGCAACAGGGGGGAGUAUUAGACAAUGGGGGAAACGUGGAUGCAGCAACGCCGCGUGAGAAAUGACGGCCUUCGGGUUGUAAACCGCUUUCAGCCAUGACGCGGUAGUGGCAGAAGAAGCACCGGCUAAAUACGUGCCAGCAGCCGCGGUAAUAC